rnacentral:lncRNA from 1 species
CAAAGAGAUCCCUUUGCUGUCUGGGCUUCUCAAAUUCCCAGCAAAACAUCUGAAAAAAAAAUAAAAUAAAGAGAGAGAGUGAAGCCUUCCUGCCAAUUGCAUUAAGUAGCCAAAGGAUCACUCCAUUAAGUCUGGCAGGGGGAAAAAGACACAUCAGAGGAAAAGGGAAUCUCUCAUAUGCCCUGGGAGACAGUGAGACAAAUCUGGAAUUCCUCCCUGUCAACCAGGCUAUGAUCAACUCUGCCAUUCAGCAGGACUCUGACAGACUUUCCAGCCAUUGAGGUCAAUCAGGGAACCACCUCCAAGAGAGCCUCAGUACCUGAGCAGAACACAGUGCAUCAACUAUGUCAUUUCAACCUUAACUCCACAUUUCCUGACUCUGAUGAACUGUAGGAAAUCAUACCCUUAGUCUAAUUUCAGCAAAUUUUCUUCAUAAGAACAUGCUUUUACAGUCUGCUUAAGCAUGGAAUAGUAGAAAAAAGUAGAAUAAAAGUGCUUUAAAGGAUUGUGAAUUUUUAAUA